GUUCGGGCCGUGUGUGUGUUCUUUUGCAUUGUUUCAUUCACUGUCAUCCCGGAUCCUGCUAUAGCCAACUAAACGGUAUGAGUUGUGCUAAUUGUUUAUUCGUUGAUCCCUGGUGGAUAGUUGUGUUCAUUGUUUAUUCGUUGGUCCCUGGUGGAUAGUUGUGUUCAUUGUUUAUUCGUUGGUCCCUGGUAGAUAGUUGUGUUCCUUGUUUAUUCGUUGGUCCCUGGUGGAAUGUUGUGUUCAUUGUUUAUUCGUUGGUCACUGGUGGAUAGUUCAUUGUUUAUUCGUUGGUCCCUGGUGGAAUGUUGUGUUCAUUGUUUAUUCGUUGGUCCCUGGUGAGUAGUUGUUUUCAUUGUUUAUUUUUUGGUCCCUGGUGGAUAGUUAAGUUCAUUGUUUAUUCAUUGUUCCCUGGUUAGAUAGUUGUGUUCAUUGUUUAUUCGUUGGUCCCUUGUGGAUAGUUUUGGUCUCUUGUGGAUAGUUGAGUUCAUUGUUUAUUCGUUGGUCCCUGGUGGAUAGUUUUCUCAUUGUUUAUUCGUUGGUCCCUAGUUGAUAGUUGUGUUCAUUGUUUUAUUCGUUGGUCCCUGGUGAAUAGUUCAGUUCAUUGUUUAUUCGUUGGUCUCUGGUGGAUAAUUGUCUCAUUGUUUAUUCGUUGGUCCCUGGUGGAAUGUUGUCUCAUUGUUUAUUCGUUGGUCCCUAGUUGAUAGUUGUGUUCAUUGUUUUAUUCGUUGGUCCCUGGUGGAUAGUUCAGUUCAUUGUUUAUUCGUUGGUCUCUGGUGGAUAAUUGUCUCAUUGUUUAUUCGUUGGUCCCUGGUUGAUAGUUAUAUUCAUUGUUUAUUCUUGGUCCCUAGUUGAUAGUUGUGUUCAUUGUUUUAUUCGUUGGUCCCUAAAGGAUAGUU
rnacentral:lncRNA from 1 species